rnacentral:ncRNA from 1 species
UUGCACCCUGAGAGAUAACGCAAGUGUCCUAAUAUGUUCUCAACGAGAACAAAAAUGUCGUGUGAAAAAAAAAGGUAAAAGCUUGUUUGAUUUUGAUUUCUGGUACGAAUACAAACCAUGAAAAUGUGGCAUAAUCAAUCCUUUACCUUUAGAGUUUCAAGCUAAGG